GGCACUGACUCCGGACGCAACUUCACGCUGGAUCUGACCAGCCUGCAUGUCAACUCCUUUGACCUCCUGGACCUCGAGGCCCCUUUCUCCGAGGACGAAAUAUGGCGAGCCAUGAAAUGCCUACCAACUAGGAAGGCGCCUGGCCCCGACGGCUUCACCUCUGAGUUCUUACGUGCCUGUUGGGACAUCAUCAAGCAGGAUAUUUGCGAUGCUUUUGACAAGCUCUACACCAUGAAUGGGUGCGGCUUCCAAAAGAUCAACGAGGCCCUCCUCACACUGCUCCCCAAGAGGCCCGAUGCUGCCUCUCUCUCGGACUACCGGCCCAUAAGUCUCAUCCACCUGAUUUCCAAGCUUUCCACCAAAGUUCUCGCCUUGCGUCUUGCUCCAAGGCUAAGCUCGAUGAUCUCCGCGAACCAAAGCACGUUCAUCGCCGGAGGUGCAUCCACGACAACUUUCUUCUUGUUCAACAAACUGCGCGCC
rnacentral:rRNA from 1 species